AGUGAACGCUGGCGGCGUGCUUAACACAUGCAAGUCGAACGAGAACGGAUUAUAGCUUGCUAUAAUUGUCAGCUAAGUGGCGCACGGGUGAGUAAUGUAUAGGUAAUAUGCCUCUUACUAAGGGAUAACAAAUGGAAACGUUUGCUAAUACCUUAUACUCCUUAUUAACAGAAGUUAAUAAGGGAAAGAUUUAUUGGUAAGAGAUUAGCCUGUAUUGUAUCAGUUAGUUGGUGGGGUAAUGGCUUACCAAGACUAUGACACAUAACUGGUUUGAGAGGAUGAGCAGUCACACUGGAACUGAGACACGGUCCAGACUCCUACGGGAGGCAGCAGUGGGGAAUAUUGCACAAUGGACGAAAGUCUGAUGCAGCAACGCUGCGUGGAGGAUGACACAUUUCGGUGCGUAAACUCCUUUUAUAUGAGAAGAUAAUGACGGUAUUAUAUGAAUAAGCACCGGCUAACUCCGUGCCAGCAGCCGCCGUAACAC
rnacentral:rRNA from 1 species